rnacentral:rRNA from 1 species
GAUGAACGCUGGCGGCGUGCCUAAUACAUGCAAGUCGAGCGAACGGACGAGAAGCUUGCUUCUCUGAUGUUAGCGGCGGACGGGUGAGUAACACGUGGAUAACCUGCCUAUAAGACUGGGAUAACUUCGGGAAACCGGAGCUAAUACCGGAUAAUAUUUUGAACCGCAUGGUUCAAAAGUGAAAGACGGUCUUGCUGUCACUUAUAGAUGGAUCCGCGCUGCAUUAGCUAGUUGGUAAGGUAACGGCUUACCAAGGCAACGAUGCAUAGCCGACCUGAGAGGGUGAUCGGCCACACUGGAACUGAGACACGGUCCAGACUCCUACGGGAGGCAGCAGUAGGGAAUCUUCCGCAAUGGGCGAAAGCCUGACGGAGCAACGCCGCGUGAGUGAUGAAGGUCUUCGGAUCGUAAAACUCUGUUAUUAGGGAAGAACAUAUGUGUAAGUAACUGUGCACAUCUGGACGGUACCUAAUCAGAAAGCCACGGCUAACUACGU